rnacentral:lncRNA from 1 species
ACACAGUUGGUGACCAGAAGUGUCAGAAGUGAAAUGUUUUCUGUGAGCAUAGAGGAGAUGCACAGGAUAAAGAAACACAGGAGGAAGAAUUGGAUUUUUCCUACACAGUAAAGAAAGAAACAGAGUUUUGGCUUUACAGGAAACAAUACCAAAAGCCUCCACAUGAAGCAAAAUACUUUCUUGUGGUUAAGCAAUAUAGUACUAUUUGAAAAAUAUAUAUCUCAUUAAGAUCCAGCCAUGAAAGGGAGAACAAAAGAGGAAAAUGCCUUGAACAGAAUAACUCUCAACAGAUGGAUAUUGAUUACUAGAGAGCCAGUGAACAACACACCAGGCAGCAAAAGCAGCUCUCCUACGGCCAUGUCACGUGCACGGCUGAAAUGCAAGAUCUCGGAAGCUGCAGCAGAUCAGCUGAAGCUGAGUGCAGGUGAAAGACACUCUUACUGAAGUGCCGUCAUUAGCCCUGUUACAACCUAGAAGCUAAAGGCCGGGUCAGGCCUCGGCAUAUGGACAACACUAUAAGAAGGACUAAGACACAAUCUCUCUCAUGUGUGGAAAACAGUAAAGAUAAGCAGGCCGCCUCUAAGAGAAGUGAGUUUGCUUUAUCUCGGCCUGUGCUCUGAAGUCCGAGAGGUUGUCUGAGGGGGAGAAAUGCCCAGGGCGGUGCAGGCACAAGGGCACGGGGUGGAAACCCCCAAACCCUCUCCUCCUUCAACCAGAGAAACUCUAGCUAAUGUCUUUUAUGUGUUUGGUUUCUCUAAAGAUUUUGUUUGAAGAAAGGCUUCAGAGGCUAGGUUUGUUUUUUUCUUUCUUUGAGAGCACUCGUGUAGACAGCAUAAUGCCCGGAAACCUAUUCAAAACAUUAAAACGUAAACAGGUAAUAUUUUCUAACCUCUUUACAUCUUACACAACUGGGACCAUGAAUCUUAGGAGAGGCAAAUUGAGGAGACACAGGGGGAGAGUCAUUCCUCACAUCCUUGCGCUGCGUAUGCAAGUGUACUUCUAAAAUGUUUACAACUUUGUACGAAAGAAGACAAAAGUUGCUAUUAACUUGCAG